UUGCUUCUGCAGCACAUAUACCUAAAACUGGAACGGUACAGAGAAGAUUAGCAUGGCCACCUGUGCAAGGAUGGUUCACAAAUAAGUGAUUGGGACAGCCCAGGGAAAGGGUUUGU
rnacentral:snRNA from 1 species